UACGUAGGGGGCAAGCGUUGUCCGGAAUCAUUGGGCGUAAAGAGCGCGUAGGCGGCCCUGUAAGUCCGCUGUGAAAGUCGGGGGCUCAACCCUCGGAUGCCGGUGGAUACUGUCGGGCUCGAGUACGGAAGAGGCGAGUGGAAUUCCUGGUGUAGCGGUGAAAUGCGCAGAUAUCAGGAGGAACACCGAUUGCGAAGGCAGCUCGCCGGGACGUGACUGACGCUGAGACGCGAAAGCGUGGGGAGCAAACAGG
rnacentral:rRNA from 1 species